rnacentral:rRNA from 1 species
CGGACAGAUGGGAGCUUGCUCCCUGAUGUUAGCGGCGGACGGAGAAAGUAACACGUGGGUAACCUGCCUGUAAGACUGGGACAACUCCGGGAAACCGGGGCUAAUACCGGAUGGUUGUUUGAACCGCAUGGUUCAAACAUAAAAGGUGGCUUCGGCUACCACUUACAGAUGGACCCGCGGCGCAUUAGCUAGUUGGUGAGGUAACGGCUCACCAAGGCAACGAUGCGUAGCCGACCUGAGAGGGUGAUCGGCCACACUGGGACUGAGACACGGCCCAGACUCCUACGGGAGGCAGCAGUAGGGAAUCUUCCGCAAUGGACGAAAGUCUGACGGAGCAACGCCGCGUGAGUGAUGAAGGUUUUCGGAUCGUAAAGCUCUGUUGUUAGGGAAGAACAAGUACCGUUCGAAUAGGGCGGUACCUUGACGGUACCUAACCAGAAAGCCACGGCUAACUACGUGCCAGCCGCCGCGGUAAUUCGUAGGUGGCAAGCGUUGUCCGGAAUUAUUGGGCGUAAAGGGCUCGCAGGCGGUUUCUUAAGUCUGAUGUGAAAGCCCCCGGCUCAACCGGGGAGGGGCAUUGGAAACUGGGGAACUUGAGUGCAGAAGAGGAGAGUGGAAUUUCACGUGUAGCGGUGAAAUGCGUAGAGAUGUGGAGGAACACCAGUGG